rfam:Microgenomates (Curtissbacteria) bacterium GW2011_GWA1_41_11 TT34_C0024, whole genome shotgun sequence.
GUGGCUGUAGCUCAGUUGGUUAGAGCGCUGGCUUGUGGAGCCGGAUGUCGGGGGUUCGAGUCCCCUCAGCCACC